rnacentral:rRNA from 1 species
UACGUAGGGGGCAAGCGUUGUCCGGAAUCAUUGGGCGUAAAGCGCGCGUAGGCGGCCCGAUAAGUCCGCUGUAAAAGUCAACGGCUCAACUGUUGAACGCCGGUGGAUACUGUCGGGCUAGAGUCCGGAAGAGGCGAGUGGAAUUCCUGGUGUAGCGGUGGAAUGCGCAGAUAUCAGGAGGAACACCUGCGGUGUAGACGGCUUACUGGACCAUAACUGACGCUGAGGCACGAAAGCGUGGGUAGCAAACAGG